GAUCCAGCCAUGCCGCGUGUGUGAAGAAGGCCUUCGGGUUGUAAAGCACUUUCAGUGGUGAGGAAAGGUUGAUGGUUAAUACCCAUCAGCUGUGACGUUAGCCACAGAAGAAGCACCGGCUAACUCCGUGCCAGCAGCCGCGGUAAUACGGAGGGUGCGAGCGUUAAUCGGAAUUACUGGGCGUAAAGCGCACGCAGGCGGAUUGUUAAGCUAGAUGUGAAAGCCCCGGGCUCAACCUGGGAAUUGCAUUUAGAACUGGCAGUCUAGAGUCUUGGAGAGGGGAGUGGAAUUCCAGGUGUAGCGGUGAAAUGCGUAGAGAUCUGGAGGAACAUCAGUGGCGAAGGCGGCUCCCUGGCCAAAGACUGACGCUCAUGUGCGAAAGCGUGGGUAGCGAACAGGAUUAGAUACCCUGGUAGUCCACGCCGUAAACGCUGUCUACUAGCUGUCUGUGGCUUUAAGUCGUGGGUAGCGCAGCAAACGCGAUAAGUAGACCGCCUGGGGAGUACGGCCGCAAGGUUAAAACUCAAAUGAAUUGACGGGGGCCCGCACAAGCGGUGGAGCAUGUGGUUUAAUUCGAUGCAACGCGAAGAACCUUACCUACUCUUGACAUCCACAGAACUUGGUAGAGAUACCUUGGUGCCUUCGGGACCUGUGAGACAGGUGCUGCAUGGCUGUCGUCAGCUCGUGUCGUGAGAUGUUGGGUUAAGUCCCGCAACGAGCGCAACCCUUGUCCUUAGUUGCCAGCCUUAAGUUGGGCACUCUAAGGAGACUGCCGGUGACAAACCGGAGGAAGGUGGGGACGACGUCAAGUCAUCAUGGCCCUUACGAGUAGGGCUACACACGUGCUACAAUGG
rnacentral:rRNA from 1 species